rnacentral:lncRNA from 1 species
GACGCAUCGUCGUCUCCAUUACCGGUGAAGGUUUACAGCUCACGUGACUUCUCCUAAAUUUCCGUACGUCGACGAGGCGGAAGGAGGCAUCGUCGUCUCCAUUACCGGUGAAGGAAUCAUCGCCAGUGAAGUCGAAGGCGGAGUCGGCAGGGUUAGAGCGCUUCUAGGGUUUAACCGGUCCCCAGCCGUCGGGGUUGAAGGGGACGGCGCCGAUUUCAAAACCUACCAUGUUGUUUUUCGAUCUGAUUGAGGUGAGAGAGUGAAGAUGAGUGAGAGAUAGGGGAGGGUGUAGAGAUUGGGAUUUGGGAGAGCAGAGAACUGCUUCAGAUGUUGGAAGCGAGGUUGGAAGGCUAGGAGAGAAAAAAUCAAAAAACUAUAGUCUUUUAAUUUUAA